CGUGCUUAGCGUGCUGCUCAAAGGAACUGUCGACGACAAGUCUCUAUCUCAUAAUCGCACCAAGUAUUUGGCUGCUCUGGAGAUUCUUAACUAUGUAAGAGGUGAAACUGUCAGCCCAAGAAAACUCCAAAAUGUUUAUGAACUGUGGAUGCAAAAGAUUGGGCGUCUGAAAAAUUGGCCGACAAAGGUUUGCCGUCCAAUUGGAAUUCUUUUCUGUCUCACACAUGGAAUGACUAAGAUGCGCAUAUGGCUGCUCUAUGUCUCAUGCAGGAGCGUGGCCUUGAGAGUGACCCGAUCUCAAAUUUGGUUGUUGGCUUGACAUUUUGCCAUCUCUGGUAUUCUGGACUUCCAAAAGAGCUACAAUGGACAGAGUUGGACACAUUUGAUGAGUCCAAGUAAUCGGAAAUGCCUGCAGAUGGAAUUUACAAGGGGUAUGAUGCUUUCGAAGCUGGAGGAGCCAAAUCCUCCUUACAGUGUUAUUUGAACACCUCUUUCGCCUAUGACAAAGAAGUGUUAGGAGAGGACGGUAACCACCCGAAAGAUGCCAUGAAUAUUGAUGCUAAUAAACUGAAAGAAUCUGCUCGCCGUCAUUUUCAGCCACUAGAUUUCUACUUAAAUUCUACUGAGGAAAGUGGACAUGAAAAAUAUUUCUUCUCUAAUAGUAGUGGUGAUCUGCCUCAUGUGUCUAUUUUUGACACUCAUGGUGAGUUUCAGAGCUUGUGCUCUCUCCCAUCUUCCCUUUCAACUUCUCAUAGGUGCGAAGGUCCAUAUAUUCUGUGCUUCACUAAUUUAUUCCUGUCCACAAUCAUGAUUUUUAGGCAAUUUACAGGUCCCAUAUUCAGUUCCUUUAUGUUUAUUCCUUCCUAUACCUCUUAAUCUCAAAAUGUAUAUUAUUUAUUUGUACCUGAUAAUUCUGAGCUCUAGUUUUUCAUUGUUGUUCAACUACAAGAGAGGUACACAUUUGUCGCUUACAAUAGUUCCUCAUUCAGCCUCACCUAUAUGGAAGACACUGAAGAGAUUUGGUCCACACGCCAAGCCACAUAUUGCGUUGUAUCUUGGGACAGGUAAGAUUUUCUUCUGACAUAAUUGUUGGUGUCCAUCUUCCCACACAAAUAGCCCACAUCUGCGAGGGUGCAAGAUUUUUUCGAGGAGAUUGGGUGGGACUUUGGAUAGUUACUAUAUACUCUUCUACUAGUUGUGGCAAAACAAAUUGUGACCAUUCCGUUUUGUAUUGAUGCCUCAGAUCGUAUUUUUUGGAUGACUACAUAA